UUGAGCAAAAAGCCUACCCAUCUGUAAGUGCCUGAGGCAGGCCUCCCACGGACAAGAAGAUGAAGGGCCUUGAGUGUCUGGUACCAGACCCAACAGCAGUGGUAUCCCUCUGUAUGUGCUCUUGAGGUGGGGAUUUAUAGAGUGCAGAUCAAACUUUGGAAAGAUUGCAUUCCCUAGAAGUAAGGCAGAGCAGAAGCCGAGCGUUUGCCAUGUGUUUGAGACAGAGCACACCCUGUUGUCUGCUGCCUUGAGCAGUGUGAAUGCUGUCUUAAGGGCUUUCUGUAGAGCCGCCUUCCAUUGAAUCUCUCUGGGCUUCACAGCCCUGCAUGGCCUAUGCUGUGACUGUGCACCCCAGGUCGAGGAUUGUGAGGCGUGGCUUCAGUCUUGUCCCUGUCCUCCCUGAAAGUUCCCUCUCAAGUGGAGGUCAGAGGCUAGGAGAACUCCUGUCAGAAUGACUGUGGUGACUGGGUAAUAAAUUUUAUUGCUGUUUCCUUCACAGGACAGAUCACAGUGAGAUUCUCUUUCAUACACCUUCUCCUAGCCCUGGUGGGGCCAGGACUGCAUUGACCCUGGACAUCAAAGGGAAGAUUAUGUGGCUGCUAAGGCCAUCAGCCCACAGCAGCGGUUGGUCCAGCUUGGGCUUCUGGCUCCCAGAGCCCGGGCUCCCGUGGCAUAUAUAAAAGGCGGAGCCUCAUAAACUGUUGCACCUGGCAGCUGCCUUUGUCCCCAGUCCUAGAGACCGAGUCUACACACUGGAAUUGAGCUGUGACUUGAAGGCAGUCCUUCAAAAGAAUGAAGGAUACCCUCCCCUAGGCAGAUGGAGAACCGACUGCCUGCUUCCUGUGAUUGCAAGCACUAGCUGCCAUGCUCUGGGACUGCAGAAUCACAUGACACCUCCUGUGGCUGGCCCCCAAGGACUCUGCAGAGACCCUUUGAUGUGUUCAGUCAAUAGAGCAUUCCUGUUUUUGAAAAUGCAGGGAAGCCUAAGAUGUCUUAAUAAAGUACCGGAUUUGCUGGUGUUCCAGUUUGCCUCUG
rnacentral:lncRNA from 1 species